AUCUUACUGCUUGAGGCAAUGACGCAGCUAGUGAAGGUAUAACCGAGGCACGUCAAUUGCUGGUUGAGAACUUGCUGUCGGAAAUUUUAAUUUAAAAAGAUUCAAAUUCUAAAAGAAAACUUAUCCCCUUCUUUUAGUUAUUUCAAAUAUUUGAAAUUUUAAAGCAAGUUCACUUG